AAGACUUCACAAUCUGACAGCCACAUUCAGGAUGCUGAUCUAUGCCUCCACCAAUUUUCUAGUAAUCUCACUGGGCCAGGCAGGGUUCAAUAUAUCUCUUUAUCAGCACUAAGGUUUCUGAUCACAUUUAGUUUUACC
rfam:Erinaceus europaeus cont1.604271, whole genome shotgun sequence.